AUCUCUGUGGCACACUGGGUUAAUGCAUCUGGCUGUUAACCAGAAGGUUUGUGGUUCAAGCCCACCCAGGGAUG